AUUGAACGCUGGCGGUAUGCUUAACACAUGCAAGUCGAACGGUAACAGCAGAGCUUGCUCUGGCUGACGAGUGGCGGACGGGUGAGUAAUGCGUAGGAAUCUGCCUCGUAGUGGGGAAUAACUCUGGGAAACCAGAGCUAAUACCGCAUAUCUUCUACGGAAGAAAGCUGGGGACCUUCGGGCCUGGCGCUAUGAGAUGAGCCUACGUCCGAUUAGCUUGUUGGUGAGGUAAAGGCUCACCAAGGCUGCGAUCGGUAGCUGGUCUGAGAGGAUGAUCAGCCACACUGGGACUGAGACACGGCCCAGACUCCUACGGGAGGCAGCAGUGGGGAAUAUUGGACAAUGGGCGAAAGCCUGAUCCAGCAAUACCGCGUGUGUGAAGAAGGCCUGCGGGUUGUAAAGCACUUUCAGUAGGGAGGAAAAGCCUUGAGUUAAUAGCUUUGGGUCUUGACGUUACCUACAGAAGAAGCACCGGCUAAC
rnacentral:rRNA from 1 species